UUGAUUCCAUAGAUUUCUCUGUUGAUAUGGACGUUAUCAAUUGACAUGAUAUGUGUUGAGAUUUUGUGAUUGAUGACUUCUGAGUUGUGAUGAGCAAUGUUUUUGUUGAUGAGGAAAUGUUGAUUUUGUAGUUUGAACCUCCAUGAGAAUGAAAAUAUAAAAGUUUGAAACUAUUGUAGAGAAAACAAUCACAGGUAGACAUACAAGGGGAUCGAUCACCUUGUUUCAUGCGUAACUUGAGUUUCGUAAGCCUGUUUCAGGUGCGAUAAGUUG
rnacentral:lncRNA from 1 species